CCAACUUGAAUGCUUCCUGAUUAAAUAUAUACAGGAGUGAUUUCAGAGGAAUUUAAGUUUUGGAUCAUUCUUUUGAGAAAGAAAGAAAAGUACCCUUUUAAAAGAGGUGGCUCUUGAACAACACAGGUUUGAACUGCAUCAUUCCACUUAUACACAGACUUUCUUCUGCCACUGCCACUCCUGAGACAACAUGACCAAUCUCUCCCCUUCCUCCUCCUCAGCGUACUUUCAACAUAAAGACGACGAGGAUAAAGGCAUUUAUGAUGAACUACUUCCACAUAAUGAAUAAUUGAACAAAGGAGAGAAUUGUGAGAGUGAGAAAAAGUGAGACAAAGAAGAAAAACUAUAAAUCAGCAAAAUACAGUGCCAAGAGCUCUGGACCACAAAUCAGAAGACCUGAGCCCUAAUUCCUUUCCAGUCAUUGGAUUUGUUCGUCGCUUGCCAAAAUAGCAGCGAACUCUCUGUCAAACUGCAACUCAUUUUAUCGGAGCAAAAACUGAACAAAGAACUGCUAUCAUUUCUGAGGUCAGAGGCAGUGCAGCUUGUGUUACAACUCAAAAGAGUAAUACUCUGAAAAAAGAAAAAAAAAGAUGGCGCUGAAAAUAAACAUGUUCAGCAGCCAUUGUGAUUCAACUUACCCAGAUGUGCUUUUCAUGAGAUGGAGAAGGACGGAUGGAAAAGAAAAGCACACAAAUGUUAAUGGAUACAGUUCAAUCCAAAGAAAACCAUGGAAUAAAACAAGAGCAUUAUUUAAGAUGUGA
rnacentral:lncRNA from 10 species